rnacentral:lncRNA from 1 species
CUCUCUGAGUGCGUCCUUGCACCCUUUCUUACAGAUCCCACGUGUGCUCAGUCCCUUCAGUGCUGGCAGGCUGCUAUGGAGCGACGUCCAUUCCCUCUUUCUGACAUGGCCCAGGAGUCUGGAGACCUGGCGUCUGACUGUCAGUUCUGGCUGCAGAAGCUCUCUGGGUGGGACCAGGCCUGCACUCUGGAGACCCAGCAGGACACCUGUCUUCACCUUCCUCGGUUCCAGGAAUUCCUGAGACAGAUAUAUGAAGCCCUGAAAGAGGCGGUAAGUAGUGGACCAAAAU